UUAAAUAUUACUAGGGUAGGAAUAGGUAUGUUCUUGAACCCAGAGAAUUNGGCGGGAUUUUAUUCUUUUUAGAGGACCCUGUCCUGUAAUUGAUAAUCCACGAGGAGAAUUUACUUAUUCUAGGAAUCCAGUUUGAAUACUCCNGUCAUCAGAGCUCUUUUUAGAGUUAAUGUUCUUAAUAAUAAUAAAUAUAAAAUGUCAGGUCAAGGGCAAUUUAUGAAUAUGUAGAGAUGGGUUACAAUAAAUUAAUUUAUACGGAUAAUUAUCAUUAUUGAUAGUUUGAAGGGGAUUUAAAGGUAAAAUUAAUCUCUUAUUAAUUUGAUCUUAGCUCUAAAAUAUGCACACAUCGCCCGUCGCUCUUAUUAUAAAAUAAGAUAAGUCGUAACAUAGUAGAUGACCGGAAGGUGUAUCUA
rnacentral:rRNA from 1 species